UUCCCGCUUAAGUUUCCCUCAGGACAGCUGGCACUUGGCAAUGGGCAGUUUUACCUGGUAAAGCAAAUGAUUUGAGGUCUUGGGGCUGAAACGAUCUCAACCUAUUCUCAAACUUUCAAUGGGUAAGGGAGCCGGCUCGCUGGCAUGGAGCUGUGCCGUGGAAUGUGAGUGCUCAGUGGGCCACUUUUGGUAAGCAGAACUGGCACUGCGUGAUGAACCAAAUGCCGGGUUAAAGGUGCCUGAUGCCGACGCUCAUCAGAGCCCAGAAAAGGUGUUGGUUGAUCUAGACAGCAGGACGGUGGCCAUGGAAGUCGAAAUCCGCUAAGGAGCGUGUAACGACUCACCUGCCGAAUCAACUAGCCCUGAAAAUGGAUGGCGCUGGAGCGUCGGGCCCAUACCCGGCUGUCGCUGGCAGUGCGAGGCCCGUGGGGGCUAGGCCAUGAUGAGUAGGAGGGCUGCUGCGGUGAGCCUUGAAGCCUGGGGGCGUGGGCCUGGGUGGAGCCGCCACAGGUG
rnacentral:ncRNA from 1 species